rnacentral:rRNA from 1 species
GACGAACGCUGGCGGCGUGCCUAACACAUGCAAGUCUAACGAGAAAGGGGUAGCAAUAUCCUGAGUACAGUGGCGCACGGGUGAGUAACACGUAGGCAAUUUGCCUUCAGGACGGGGACAACCUCGAGAAAUCGGGGCUAAUACCCGAUAAUGCAGCGGCACCGCAUGGUGACAGUUGUUAAAGGCCCGCAAGGGCGCCCGGAGAUGAGCCUGCGUCCCAUUAGGUAGUUGGUGAGGUAACGGCCCACCAAGCCUACGAUGGGUAGCUGGUCUGAGAGGAUGAUCAGCCACACUAGAACUGAGACACGGUCCAGACUCCUACGGGAGGCAGCAGUGAGGAAUAUUGCGCAAAUGGCCGAAAGGCUGACGCAGCGACGCCGCGUGAAGGAUGAAGUCCGUUAGGAUGUAAACUUCUUUUGCAGGGGAAGAAUGUGGCGCCUUGGGCGCCAUUGACGGUACCCUGCGAAUAAGGGUCGGCUAACUACGUGCC